UUAAGAAUAUCAAUUAUAAAGUUAUACCCCGAAAGGUUUAUCUUUUAAAUCAUUAAAAAGUAAUUAUUAGUAAUGUACCUUUUGCAUCAGGGGUUAAGAAAUAAAAUUAUUAAAUUAAUAACCUCCCGAAAGAAGUAGGAUCUUAGAUUUUAUUGUUGGUUGCUGUUUCAUUAACAUUAAUAAUAAUAUUUAAGAAGUUAAAAGUUAUAGCGACUCUUCUGAUUACCUGGUUUGCUAUUUAGCGUCUUUUAAGAAGGCAAAGAAUAAAUUGAAGUUAAAGCACUUUAUUAUUUUCUUUUAAUUAUAAAGGGACAAGCUUUUAUAACUUUAGGAAGAGCGAUUUAUAGCUUAUCUUCAUGACAAGAUAGCCGUUAUUUAUCUAUUUAUAGAUCUACCUUUAGAAUAGCAUCUUUAGUAAAAUAAUUCUUAACUAUAAAAAUAAUCUUAACAUUAGUACUUCAAUAAAUUAAUUAUUAAAAGGAACUAGGCAAAUAAUUAGCCGGACUGUUUAAUAAAAACAUUUCCUCUUGCGUAAAAGGGAGGUAAAGUCUGCUCGGUGUAAUAAAUUAACAGCUGCAGUAAUUUGACUGUACAAAGGUAGCGUAAUCACUUGUCUUUUAAUUGAAGACUAGAAUGAACGGCUUAACCAAGCUAAUUCUGUCUCUUUU
rnacentral:rRNA from 1 species